UUUCCGUAGGUGAACCUGCGGAAGGAUCAUUACUGAGUGAGGGCCCCUCGGGGUCCAACCUCCCACCCGUGUUUAACGAACCAUGUUGCUUCGGCGGGCCCGCCUCACGGCCGCCGGGGGGCAUCUGCCCCCGGGCCCGCGCCCGCCGAAGCCACCUGUGAACGCUGUCUGAAGUAUGCAGUCUGAGACAAUUAUUAAAUUAAUUAAAACUUUCAACAACGGAUCUCUUGGUUCCG
rnacentral:misc_RNA from 1 species